AUAUAUAUAUAUAUAUAUAUAUAUAUACUUGUGCGUGUAUUUAUUUAAUUAUUUUAUUUUUCUUAUAUCUUUAUGUUAGACAAAAUAUAUUUGUACGUAUUACUUGCAUUUGUAUGAAAUAUAUAAUGUACGUACUAUUUUUCUUUUUUAGGCAUAGUAAAAAAUAUUGGUUAUAGUAUAAAUUUAGAUGACAGUGCCAAGAAACAGGCACUGAAAUUGUUCGACGUCCUUAGUAAAGAAUAUAAAGAUGUGAUUCAAAGAGCAUUUAUGAGAAUACAAAUAAUUUGUGACGAUUCUAUAAAAAAUGAAGUUAUUAACUUUUUGAAUAAUAAUAAUGUAAUAAUAGAAGAAGAAAAAAUAACCGAUUCAACUAAAAGAGAAGAUAAUGAAAGUAAUGCAUAUAUCAAUACGAACUAUAGUAGCAGUAAUAGUAAUGACAUAUACGAGUGUACUGAUAAUACUCCAAAUGAUGAAAAAAUAAAAUGUUUAAGUGAAAAUAAUAAGGAAAAAGAAAGCAUAAAUGAUAAUAAAAAUAAUUUACCAGACUCUGACAAAAAUAGAACUGUAGAUAACAGUAAAAACGAUAAAGAAAUAAGUAAUAACACACUAAUAGAAAAUAAAAUGAAUUGUAUAAAUAAUUUUAUGGAUAAUAAUGUAGAAAGGGAAGGCGAGGUUAAAAGAGAGUUUAAUGAAAUAAGUUAUAUCAACUAUAUUAAUAAUAAAGACAAUAUAAAUAUUGACAGUAAUAACAAUAUAAAUCAUAAAUUGAAUAAUGAAAUAUUUGAUAAGAGAUCUAAUAUAAAUGAAAAAUAUGGUUUAUUAAAAAAUAACUAUUCCAAUAAUGAUGAAGAAGAAAAAAACAAAAUAAUAUUAUUGUCAUCACAUAAAAAAAAUAACAGCACAACUAACGAAACAACAACACAUGAGUGUAUUACUAAUGAACACAAUAUGAUAUUAAAUACGAAUUUAAAAAAAAAGAAACAAGAUAAUAAAGAAAAAAUGUUAACAACUCACAAAAUAGUUUUUUUAUGUUAUCCAUACGUAUAUAGAUAUAUAAACGAUUUUACACAAAAAUAUAAAAAAUCCUGCUCUUGUAAAAUUUUAAGUAAUAAUGUAAAAAUAGUUACUUCUAAUAAAAAUAAAAUAAAUGAAACAAAACAAGUAUCGAAAGAAGAAGAAGAUAC
rnacentral:lncRNA from 1 species